rnacentral:lncRNA from 1 species
GAAACACACGCUGAGGAUCUUACAGUCAUUUUCAUAUACGGCAGUGUUACACAAACAACACAAGAUGCUUAAGAGACAUUCAAAUAAAGAACUUUGUUUUAAAAAGAAAUGUUCUAACAAACUCUAUAUAGAGGAGGGAGAUUUGAAAAAGAAAAUUUGGAAGAACUAAGCAGUCUGGGGAUUGCACUGUGCCAAUGGUUUUACACGGGCUGGCCAUCCCGGUAAUGGUGACUCCAUGGAGCAUUUUUGGUGGCAAACAAGUUCAAAUGAAGCACUUGCUCCGGCAAAUCUGAAGACACUCAACCCCACAUCACAGCCAUUUGACAGUUAAAGGUCCCAACUCUUUUUAAUGGCCAUA